UUUCUCUGAAGAAGGAGGUCAUGUCGUCUUGGCUCACUCUGUAUUGUUGGGGCCAGAAUUUAAGCUUGUUUUCAGCAUCCGCCCAAGAAGUCUCACUGGGAUCCUAAUACACAUCGGAAGUCAGCCCGGGAAGCACUUAUGUGUUUACCUGGAGGCAGGAAAGGUCACGGCCUCUAUGGACAGUGGGGCAGGUGGGACCUCAACGUCGGUCACACCAAAGCAGUCUCUGUGUGAUGGACAGUGGCACUCGGUGGCAGCCAAUUUGACGACACUGAGGAUCCCUGUGUGGAAAUCAUUCUUUGGCUGUCUGAGGAAUAUUCAUGUCAAUCACAUCCCUGUCCCUGUCACUGAAGCCUUGGAAGUCCAGGGGCCUGUCAGUCUGAAUGGUUGUCCUGACCAGUAACCCAAGCCUAUUUCACAGCAAGGAAAUUCACCUUCAAAAGCACUGAUUACCCAAUGCACCUCCCUCCCCAGCUCGAGAUCAUUCUUCACUCAGGACACAAACCAGACAGGUUUAAUAGCGAAUCUAAUUUUGAAUUCUGACCAUGGAUACC
rnacentral:lncRNA from 1 species